rnacentral:rRNA from 1 species
UACAGAGGGUGCAAGCGUUGUUCGGAAUUAUUGGGCGUAAAGAGCUCGUAGGCGGCUUGUCACGUCGGGUGUGAAAGCCCGGGGCUUAACCCCGGGUCUGCAUUCGAUACGGGCUGGCUAGAGUGUGGUAGGGGUGAUCGGAAUUCCUGGUGUAGCGGUGAAAUGCGCAGAUAUCAGGAGGAACACCGGUGGCGAAGGCGGAUCUCUGGGCCAUUACUGACGCUGAGGAGCGAAAGCGUGGGGAGCGAACAGG